GGGCACACUAGCUCAGAUUUGUUUAUGCAGAACGCGAAGUCUCCUUAGAGCCGAAAAAAUAGAAAACGAGAAGCGAAUAAAGUGCCCCAUUGGCACAAAACGAGCUAGCACCUAAGAACCCCACACACCACACAAGAUGUUCAACUUUAUGAAGAAGAGCGCCGGGGAUGAGGACAAGGAGCGUCGCAAGCGCGAAAAGAAGCUGCGCAAAGAGGCUAAGGGCACCUCUGGUGGCCCGGGAAUGGGAGGCGUGACAGGCGUCACCGGCAGCAUGAGCACCGACGAGCUACUCCGCCUGGAUGAGGUGCGGCGAUCACUUAAAAUCCGCGGGCGACGCAAGGAAAAGGAAAAGCUGCCCAGCGGAAUUACGGCGGACUAUAGCGCAGACUUCUUUGCCGCCCUCAAUGCAGACGCAAACGGUGGAAGCAACGGGGGAGCAGUGGGAGCUGCAGAUCCCGAACAGGAUCGUGGCAAUGAGGAGAUUGUAGCAUCUGUGAUGACGCACAUCGAGAGCCGAGCGUCCAACGGCGCCGGCGUGAGUGUCAACUACAGCGAGGUCACACAUUCUCUUCUCUCAGGAGGGCUAAAGAAUCGCUUUCUUCCACCUAUACCCCCAAAACCUCCCAAACGUGGCAUUCUGAAAGGCUCCCGCAGCAAUAUGACCAAUGUGCAUGAGGAGAUCAGCUUUGCGGGCAGCGCCGGAGGAGCAGGUGGCACGCCAGAGAUGCUAUUGCGCAACACCUUCCAGAAUGAAUCACUUUACGAGGGCGCUGCCAGGGGAGCGGGUUCGAUAGGCUCAAACUCCAGUCAGCAUGGAACCUCGUUUACUUCCGUGGAGAGCCUGCGCAGCGAUGGUGAACAGACGGGAGGUCAGCAACGGGCCAUGACCCUGCCGGCCAACGCCCGCUAUGGAGUUUUACCCCAGGGCAACAGUCAAGGAUCGCACCUCCAUGUGCUCACCUCGCCGUCGCCCAGCGCCGACAGUCUCACAGAUACCACAAACUCCUCUUUCGCCACACCCCCAUUUUCGCUGAGUCCCGUAGGCGAGUCCCAGGGCAUCGACCGUUGGGCCCGCGUUCAUGCCUUCGAAGAUGUGGAGCUGCCGCUUCCGCCGGUGCAGCUGGUAAAACUUCCGCCACCAAGGCAGCUGGUGAUCAGGCGACAAAAGUCGCCGCGCCAGGACUUCGGCUUUAGCCUGCGCAAGGCCAUCUGCUUGGACAGAACAGAAUCCCUGACUUCGCCCAUUUUCAGGCCGGUUAUAUUCGCCGAGCCAGGUGCUGGGGGCGGAGCAACGGGUCUGCUGCCCGGCGAUCGCCUAAUCAAGGUCAACGGCACGCCGGUCGGCGAAUUGUCGCGCGAGAUCAUCAUUGAGAUGAUACGGAACAGCGGCGAGGCUGUCACCGUGGAGGUCCAACCAGUCGCUGAGUUGGUGGAGCUGAGCAAGCGAUGCAUGGCACCCAGCACAGCCACCGUGGAGGAGAUCGAUCAUUCCAUUACCAACGGCAACUGCAACACCCUGCGACGCAGUGCCAGCAAGCGCUUCAAGCGUCAGAGCCGCCAUGAGAAUGGCAAUGGCGGAGGAGAAGAGGAAGGAGCCCAAGGAGUGGUCCACGAUCUGGAGGCGGAUGUUGCGGAUGCCAGUCAGCCGGAGCGCGUUUGGCUGGUGCACCGCGGUGGCUUCACUUCUGCCAUCCGUCUGCCGACUGCGUCUUCUGGCCGGGAUGAGGAGCACAAGCUUAGCCUGCGUCUUCUGCAUAAUGGGGAGCAGUUGACCGUCGACGAGGACGAUGUGGAGAAGCAGAACAGCCCUGCCCUGGAUCUUGUCGAGGACAUCUGUGAGCUGAAGUAUCUGAACGAGGCGUCUGUGCUCCACUGCCUCCGUCAGCGAUACGCCAGCAAUCUCAUCCACACCAAGGCGGGGCCCACGCUGCUCGUGGUCAAUCCCAUGGCACCGCUGUCCCUGUACUCCGAGAAGGUUGUCUCCAUGUUCCGCGGCUGCAAGACGGAGGAUAUGCCGCCCCACGUCUAUUCACUGGCCCAGACCGCCUACAGGAGCCUGGUCGAGACGCGGCGCGACCAGAGCUUGAUAUUCAUGGGCCGAUCUGGUUCUGGCAAAUCCACUAGCUUCAAGCAUGCACUCAACUACCUCGCGUUGGCAGCUGGUGCCUACAAUAAUUUUAUAAACGCGGAAAAGGUGAAUGCCCUCUGCACCAUUCUGGAGGCUUUUGGAAAUACGAAAACUUGCCUAAACUCGAAUGCCACUCGGAUGACGCAGCUGUUAAGCCUGGAUUUCGAUCAAACCGGCCAGAUUGCAUCUGCUUCAUUGCAAGUUCUCCUCCCAGAGAGACAAAGAGCUGGCCGACGAUUGAGCCAUGAACAUAGUUUCCACAUCAUGACACGACUCUUGGCUGGCGCCGCUGGUUUGCUACAGAAGGAGCUGCACCUGGAGAACAUUACCUCCGAGGACAGUCAUCCUUUUAUAUCGUUAUCCCAAAAGCUGGAGGACCGGCAUCGAGCUGCCAAUGACUUUAUGCGCACUGUGCAGGCCUUUGAGACGCUGAACAUUGAUGCAAAGGCGGUACGGGGGAUAUGGAGCAUUCUGGCGGCCAUUUACCAUCUUGGCAUUGCGGGUGUCACGAAAGUGGGCACUGGAUCAACAGCCCGAACUCAGUUUGCCAAUCCCACGGCCGCUCGAAAGGCCUCGGGUUUGUUGGGCGUGAAUCUAGAGGAUCUGUCAUCAGCUGCCUUUGGUCUCACCCAACCAAAUGCCCCCAACGGUGGUCUGAGUCCCUCGAAAUCGCCCACCUCGGACACUGGACACGAAUGGGCCUGGGAAUGUCUCGAGGCGUUGGUCAUUGGUCUAUACUCGGAGGCUUUGGCCGCAGUGGUGGCUUUGAUCAAUCGUCAGAUCUGCACAUCUGCCCACACCAUAGCCUCAAUUAUGCUAAUUGACACGCCCGGCUUCCAAAAUCCAGCCAGCUGUGGCCAGCAAGUGGGUGCUACUCUAGCGGAUCUGCGUCACAACUAUCUGCAGGAGCGUCUGCAGAUGCUCUUCCAUCACACCACACUAGUGGCUCCCCGCGAUCGCUACGCCCAGGAGCUGGUGGAAAUCGAGAUGGACCAGGCUUCGGAGUGUCAUCCGGGACCGCUGAUCUCGCUAAUCGACAAGGCACCCCAGAACCAUGUAGUGCGCUCGUCUCAGCGGGAUUUACGAGAUCAUGAUCGUCGAGGCCUGUUGUGGCUACUGGAUGAGGAAGCCAUCUAUCCAAACUUCAACGACGACACAUUCCUUGAACGUUUGUUCUCGCACUACGGCGACCGGGAACAUCACAACCUGCUGCGGAAAUGCUCUGGGCCGCGACAAUUUGUACUCCACCAUCUGCAAGGCACCAAUCCUGUGCUCUAUGCUGUUGAUGGUUGGGUGCGGCAUAGCCGGGAGCACCCGGGUAUUCGGAAUGCUGUAUCCCUGCUACAGGACAGCAGUCGGGAGGAGAUCAACCGCCUGUAUAUCGGCUCACUGACCCGGGGAUCGGGAGCGAUGGUGUUUUGUGGCUCCUUUGCUGGUCUAGAAGGCACUCAGUCACUUCGUCGCGUGUCCAGUAUUCGUCGCUCUUUCACAACGGCCGGAGUGAAGCGCAACUCCAUCAUGCUGCAGGUAAAGUUUACCGUGGAUGGAAUUAUCGACACGUUGCGCCGCACUGGGACUCACUUUGUGCACUGCUAUCUGCUGCAACAUAACGCUGGCAAACACACCAAGUACACCGCCAAUGGAUCGCCCAGCUCAGCUGCCGGUCAGGCCUCCAGUGAGGAGGAAAUGGUCAACGUGCCACUGUUAAGGAGUCAGCUACGUGGCUCACAAGUCCUAGAAGCGGCUCGUUUGCAUCGCCUUGGUUUUCCCGAAUCAGUGCCAUUAUUGGAGUUUAUCAGGCGUUUCGGUCUUUUGGCCGGGGACUUGGGCAGCAAUAAGGAUGUUAGCGUGGAGCAAAUAUUAGCUGUUAAUGAACUGGAUGUAGCCAGCUAUCGCAUUGGACCUAGUCAGAUCCUCUUCCGCUCAGGAGUCCUUAGUGAUCUGGAAGCCAAGCGCGAUGUCCUGCUCUCAGAUCGCAUUAUACAGCUGCAAGCUUUCUGCCGCGGCUAUUUGGCCCGCAAGAAGAUGUCCCAACGACGAGUUCAGGAACUGGCAGUGCGAUGCAUUCAACGCAAUGUGAAGGCAUUCCUUGCCGUUCGCGACUGGCCUUGGUGGCGUCUCCUGGUGCGGGUCACUCCCCUGCUCAACGUUCAUCGCACCGAGGAGCAGCUGAAGACGGCUAACGAGGAGCUGCUAAUGCUGCGAGCCAAGCUGGAGAAGAUCGAGUGUGAUCGCAGCGAGGUCAAGGCGGAAAACCAAAAGCUGGAAGCCAAGCUAUCCGAGCUGACGGUGGACCUGGCCGAGGAGCGAUCUACGGCUCAUAUAGCCACCGAGCGGCUGGAGGCGGAAACCGCCGAACGUUUGAAGCUGGAGAAGGAGCUGGGUGAUCAAGCCAACAAGGUGAAGAACCUUCAGGAGACGACGGAGAAGCUGGAAAUGGAGCUGAUAUGCGCCAAGUCCGAUCUGAAUGGCAUCUCUGAGGACGAGGAUGCAGAGAACGAGGACGGUGUCGGCGGCGGAGUCUACAAGCUGAAGUACGAGCGGGUGGCCAGGGAGCUGGAGUUCACCAAGAGGCGAUUGCACACGCAGCAUGAGCACGAUCUGGAACAGCUGGUCGGGCUUAAGAAGCAAUUGGAGAAGAAGCUUUCCGAUGCCUACGAAGAAGUUGAGGAGCAACGUCAGGUUGUGGGCCAAUGGAAGCGCAAGGCACAGAAGAUGACCAACGAGAUGAACGAUCUGCGCAUGCUGCUCGAGGAGCAAAAUGCGCGCAACAAUUUGCUCGAGAAGAAGCAGCGCAAGUUCGAUGCCGAGUGCCAGUCCCUGCAGGACGCGUCGCGUCAGGACCGGCAGGCCAAGGAGCGCUACGGUCGCGAAAAGGACGUCCUGCAGGCCGAGAAGUUCACUCUGGAGCAAACGCUGGCGGACACCCGUCUGGAUCUUGACCUCAAAGAGGAGAAACUUGCAUCACUGCAACGCGAGCUGGAGGAGAUGACCUUUGGUGGUGGCACCGAAGAGGAGUUCGCCCAACUGCGGCGCUCCAAGAAUGAAACAGAGCGUCGCGCCAAGGAGCAGGAGGAGGAGCUGGACGAGAUGGCCGGACAGAUACAGCUGCUCGAGCAAGCAAAGCUUCGCCUGGAAAUGACUCUAGAAACAAUGCGCAAGGAAGCGCGCCGUGAGUCGCAGCAGCGCGACGAAGAGCUGGAAGAAGUGCGCGGUAACGGCUACAAGAAGAUUAAAGCCCUUGAGUGUCAGCUGGAAACUGAGCACGAGGAGCGUACUCUGCUGCUGCGCGAGAAGCACGAGCUGGAGCGGCGACUCUCCUCCAUGGAGGAUCGCGAUCGUGUUGAUCGCGACGCCGAUGAAGCGCUCAACCAAAAACUGCGACGGGAUCUUCGCAAGUACAAGGCCCUGCUCAAGGACGCCCAGACACAGUUGGAGCGUCUUAAGGCUGACACUCCUGGCAAGACGCUUAUAAGACAACUGCGUAACCAACUGGAGGAUGCCGAGUCUGCUCGUUCCCUGGCUAUGAAAGCGCGACAAACAGCGGAAGCAGAACUUACUGAAGUACAGGCCAUGUUCGAGGAGUCGCAUCGAGCUAGGAAUGACGCGGAAGAGCGAGCCAAUGCGGCACACAGAGAUCGGGCUGAGCUGCAGGCCCAGAUUGAGGAGAACGAAGAGGAGCUGGGCGAGCUGAUGAAGAAGUACAGUGCCACAGUAAAGCAACUGAACACAGAGCAGAUCAACGUAUCCGAGGCUGAGUUUAAACUCAAUGAAAUGGAGGCAGAGCGCAAUAACCUCAAGGAGCAGGUGGCCGAGCUGCAACACCGUCUGGACAACGUUGAGAACUUAGGGGAUCCAUCUAUGGCCAUGAUGUCUAAGCGACUGGAGCUGCGCACCAAGGAAUUAGAAUCCCGGCUGGAAUUAGAGCAGGCCACUCGGGCUCGUCUUGAAGUGCAGGUAAACCGUCACAAAGAGGCCCUGGAAAAACUGCAGAACGAGGUGACGCAGUCAAAGAUGCGUGAGAUGCAGGCCCAGGAUGUAAUCAAAAAAUCGCAAAAGAGUCUGCGCGACAUGCGCGAAGAGUUCCACGCCGUCUCCAGUCGCGAGCAGGAGUCGCUCACGCGGCGCAAGGACCUCGAGAAGAAGAUGGAGCAAAUGGAGUCGGAGGGAGCGGCGCUUAAGAACGAUCUGCGACUGGCUUUACAGCGAAUAGCUGAUUUACAGCAGGCUAUGGAGGAAGAGGGCGAGGAGGAGCUCAGCGAGAGUGAUGAAAGUCUCAGCUCGGUGGGCUCUAUCAGCGAUCUGGAGGAUCGACUUCGGCCAGUUAAUGUGAAACGCAGGUCACAGCAGUCCUUGAACGGCAGCAUCGGCGGCGGAGGCGGCAGCGUUGUCAGCUCCACCCGCACCGUGGUGUUUGAAAAGGACGACAACAGCCCGAGGUACGCUGAUAACGAAGUCAACUCGAACAGCAGAAAGCAGCACAAGCAUUAAGGCCCAAGCACACAGCGUAGACUCUCUCACCCUCUAUUUGUCUGACUCUUAAUAUGCCUAUCGCUAGUUAGCUAGUCUGUAAGCUUUUUCUUAUUGUAGAAUAACAGUGACGUCGCCAUCGUCGCCACACAUUCAUAAGCUGGCACUGGCGGCCAAAGCCAUACCGGCCCAC
rnacentral:misc_RNA from 1 species